CAAUAGCGUAUAUUUAAGUUGUUGCAGUUAAAAAGCUCGUAGUUGGAUUUCGGUUAAGAGCGACCGGUCCGCCGUUUGGUGUGCACUGGUUGGUUUUAACUUCCUGUAGAGGACGUGCUCUGGGUUUAACGACCUGGACUCGGAGUCUACGUGGUUACUUUGAAAAAAUUAGAGUGUUCAAAGCGGGCUUACGCUUGAAUAUUUCAGCAUGGAAUAACACUAUAGGACUCCUGUCCUAUUUCGUUGGUCUCGGGACGGGAGUAAUGAUUAAGAGGAACAGUUGGGGGCAUUCGUAUUUCAUUGUCAGAGGUGAAAUUCUUGGAUUUAUGAAAGACGAACUUCUGCGAAAGCAUUUGCCAGGGAUGUUUUCAUUAA
rnacentral:rRNA from 1 species